CCUACGGGGUGCAGCAGUCGAGAAUCAUUCACAAUGGGGGAAACCCUGAUGGGGCGACGCCGCGUGGGGGAAUGAAGGUCUUCGGAUUGUAAACCCCUGUCAUGUGGGAGCAAAUUAAAAAGAUAGUACCACAAGAGGAAGAGACGGCUAACUCUGUGCCAGCAGCCGCGGUAAUACAGAGGUCUCAAGCGUUGUUCGGAAUCACUGGGCGUAAAGCGUGCGUAGGCUGUUUCGUAAGUCGUGUGUGAAAGGCGCGGGCUCAACCCGCGGACGGCACAUGAUACUGCGAGACUAGAGUAAUGGAGGGGGAACCGGAAUGCUCGGUGUAGCGGUGAAAUGCGUAGAUAUCGAGAGGAACACUCGUGGCGAAGGCGGGUUCCUGGACAUUAACUGACGCUGAGGCACGAAGGCCAGGGGAGCGAAAAGGAUUAGAUACCCGAGUAGUC
rnacentral:rRNA from 1 species